CAUAGGAUUUGUUAGUGUAUGUGAAUUUAAAUAAAAGAUUAGUUCUCUGUAAUCACACAAAACUGCUAAAAUACACCAUUUCGAAACCAAAUGGCUGGUUUUUAUCAGCUAUUUCCAAAUAGUUUGGCUGACUGACAGAUUACUACAUGCAUGAUACGGAGUUUCUACAAAUCAGUGUUUCUUACUUGGGGAGUAAAUCUGCACCACCUGAAAUUGGGGGCUAACGAGGCUGAGGCAGGAUGAAAGCAUUAGUAACAGUUUCUAAUCAUUGAUCAGUAGUAGCACCUUACCAAUAAUAAUGCCAGCCUACCUCAUGCAGUCAUUGAAUGGGCUACACACAUAGACCUUUGCAUACCAUGGCUUGGUGUCCAGGAAGGGCCAUGAGACUGGC